rnacentral:rRNA from 1 species
GACGAACCGAGCGAACGUUGUUCGGAAUCACUGGGCUUAAAGGGCGCGUAGGCGGACCUGCAAGUCGGGGGUGAAAGCCCGAGGCUCAACCUCGGAACUGCCUUCGAUACUGCGGGUCUCGAGUCCGGGAGAGGUGAGUGGAAUUCCUAGUGUAGAGGUGAAAUUCGUAGAUAUUCGGAGGAACACCAGUGGCGAAGGCGGCUCACUGGUCCGGUACUGACGCUGAGGUGCGAAAGCGUGGGGAGCAAACAGG